rnacentral:lncRNA from 11 species
GUUUCCUCUGUGCAACCAGCUACAUUCAAGACAAGAUGUGCAUGUUUGGACAUAACAAGGGGACAUGCUAGAUCUCUUCUCAAGGUAGCUUGCUGAAGGAAGAAAAUGGGGAGUGAAAAUAUUCCAGCUCUUUUAAGGCCUUUGGCACCUGAAGAAGCCGAGGCUGCAAAAGACUUGCCAGAACUCCAACUUGAUGCAGCAUCUUGGUUGGAAGGAGGACAAGUGUGGGUCCUUGAACUUGAGCCUUAUCAGCCUGAACCAUCUUCAGGUGAGUCUG